UAUUCACAGAUGGACAAGUUAAAGGUAUGUUUUAAUGUCCAUAUAGACGAGAAGGAAGGCGUGGACUGAGAAGAACUUCGAGGGGCGUUGCUCGGAGGUUGGUUAAUCCACUGCUCUCGUGCAUAUCAACUGGUUCACCUGACGGGGUUGCAAAAUCAAACCCAUGUAGCAAUGUAGCCAGUGCUAGAUCCAUGACAUGAAGGGCAAAAGAUACUCCAGGGCACAUUCUUCUGCCACUUCCAAACGGAGAAAACUCGAAGUUUUUCCCUCUAACAUCAAAACCUCUGUGAGUUGUUAGAAAUCUUUCCGGAUCAAACUCGUUAGGAUUGGACCACACCCUUUCAUCACGAUGAAUCUUC